AGGACGAACGCUGGCGGCGUGCUUAACACAUGCAAGUCGAGCGGAAAGGCCCUUCGGGGUACUCGAGCGGCGAACGGGUGAGUAACACGUGAGUAAUCUGCCCCUAGCUCUGGGAUAGCUCCGGGAAACCGGGAUUAAUACCAGAUACGACCACUUUAGACAUCUGUCGUGGUGGAAAGGAUUCCGGCUAGGGAUGGGCUCGCGGCCUAUCAGCUUGUUGGUGGGUAACGCCUACCAAGGCGACGACGGGUA
rnacentral:rRNA from 1 species